AUUUGACCUCUCGUCCCGGAGAGGCCGGUGGGUGUUAGUUCAGAGGGUUAUGGGAGGGCUCUGGCGUCCUGCAUGGAGGGGCGUCGCUUUCUGUGGCUGGCGCUGGAUCCACCCUGGGUCUCCAACCAGGGCUGCAGAGAGGGUAGAGCCGUUUCUUAGGCCAGAGUGGAGUGGGACAGGAGGUGCCGAGAGAGGACUGAGGUGGCUUGGGACAUGGAAGCGCUGCAGCCUUCCCUUCCGGCAUCCAGCAUUGCAGCCGCCGCGGCGGCCUAAGAGCUCGAACCCUUUCACGCGCGCGCAGGAGGAGAAGCGGCGGCGGCAGAACAAGACGACCCUCACUUACGUGGCCGCUGUCGCCGUGGGCAUGCUGGGGGCGUCCUACGCUGCCGUACCCCUUUAUCGCCUCUAUUGCCAGACUACUGGACUUGGAGGAUCAGCAGUUGCAGGUCAUGCCUCAGACAAGAUUGAAAACAUGGUGCCUGUUAAAGAUCGAAUCAUUAAAAUUAGCUUUAAUGCAGAUGUGCAUGCAAGUCUCCAGUGGAACUUUAGACCUCAGCAAACAGAAAUAUAUGUGGUGCCAGGAGAGACUGCACUGGCGUUUUACAGAGCUAAGAAUCCUACUGACAAACCAGUAAUUGGAAUUUCUACAUACAAUAUUGUUCCAUUUGAAGCUGGACAGUAUUUCAAUAAAAUACAGGUACAUCAAAGUGUAAACUUUACAGAAUAUGAUAAAGAUACAUGAAACGGUUUAGUAUGAAACUUAGUGUUUUAGUAGAUCUUGUGAUUUCUGAAAACGAAUUUCUUCUAAACAUCAAGCUAUUUUUCUUCACUAUCUAUACCUGCUAUGCAGAGAUUGAGAACCAAACCAAAUGGAUAUCUGCUUUUAAGAUUAGAAUUUGUUCUUCAUCCUUAAAGCAGAACUCAUUGAGAUGAAAAGAUGCUCUUAAUUUAUCACAGAACUGUGUGUUUAAUAGUAUGCUUAUUAAAAUCACGAAGUGUACUGGAAUGCUAAGAUAAAAGAACUGUAUAGUUUCUGUUAUGUAAUACGAGAAUAGAAAUGUUAUUAAAAUCUUUCUAUAAUUUCCAGUGCUUCUGUUUUGAAGAACAAAGGCUUAAUCCCCAAGAGGAAGUAGAUAUGCCAGUGUUUUUCUACAUUGAUCCUGAAUUUGCUGAAGAUCCAAGAAUGAUUAAAGUUGAUCUUAUAACUCUUUCUUACACUUUUUUUGAAGCAAAGGAAGGGCACAAGUUGCCAGUUCCAGGAUAUAAUUGAAGUCAGCAACUAAGUCUUCCUUCAAAGUUGUGAUUUUUGGGAAAAUCAUAUAUCCUAUCUUCUCAAAGGAGAAAUAUUGUACAAUAAUAUGAAGGCUUAUAUUUUAAAUAAUUAUUUUUUCUCAACUAAUUUAUUUCACUUAAAGUUGAGAGAACAAGUUCAGCUUUUAUCAUAAGAAACUCACAUGCCUAGCUAGAAUAUAUGACUGACUAUUCAAUACCAUACUGAAGAGUUUGAUACUAUUAAAAUAAGCCGCUUUGUUUUUUAAAUAUGCAGGCAUGGGUUCAGCUUAAUUCCAUAAUUCCCUUCCAGAUUAUUAACUCUUCAUACUUACAGCAAUGAAUCUGACAAUGUUUUUCAAAAAUGUAUGCUCAGGGUUAUUUGUUUCAGGUCAUAGGCUAGAACUUCUGACCAUGUUUAUUGUGUCUAAAAGAGUUGGUUGCUAUUUUCCUUCAUUAUGAAUAGUCAGUAUUUUAAAAGCUCAAAGUAGAAGAGGAGUCACUAAGCCCUAACAGCUUGUCCAAAGAUUUAAAUUCUUAUUUCAAAUUUGAUUUGUCCUUUAAGGUUUAGGGCUAUUUUAUAUUCAGAGUUCUGAAUAAUUACUUUGAAAUUGUAGUAUCAUAAAAUUGAAAUAAAAUACAUCUACUAGGCUGUUAGCCAAAGCAUCACCAUUACAAGUCCAUGAAUGUUAAAAUGUACAGGUGGGAUUGUGAAGAUUUACUGACAUCAAAAGUUCUUCUGGAAACAAACCUUUGUUAAAAAAAAAAGUAUUAAAUUAUUUUAAUAGUGAUUUAUUUGUCAUCAAAUGUACAACUUAUUCUAAAUAUUUUCAUUUUCUGUGUUCUAAAUAGAAAUAUUAAGUUGCAGUAAAAAGAGAAAAAAAGACUAUUUAGCAUUACAAAGAAUCAUAUUUAAAGGCUGCCCAAUGUAGAGUCUAGUGACCUGUUCAGGACACCUGAAAUAUAAUUAAAUGACAAUUAUCGAGGUUUUAACAAUUUAUAAUUCUAAACCAGAGGAUUAUAAAGAAGUGCAAAUUGACUUUUACAUUCAACUUUAGUUAAAUGAAGGCACUCAGUAUUCUUCCUGAAUAAUACAUUCAGUUUCUCACAUUUUAUGCUUUCAUCUAUUCAGAAUUAUUUCAUAGUAAAAUAAUCUACUCUUAUCACAGCUGUGUGACGAUUUCUAAAUGUAGGAAGGCCUGUGAAACAUAUAUGACACUGCAGUUAAAUUGGUUGGCCUAAGGACUAAGUAAUUUUUCUUCUGCUAAAGUUUUAAGUAUUUGUUCCAAACAAGUUCUGUUGAAAUCUCAUGCUGUUGUCAGGAAUCAGUGUUAUCCUGGAACUGUUAUUCUAUUUAAUCUUCAUUGUAGCAGAAAUGUGCCACCAUGGCUUUGACAUGUUGGUAGGUAUUGUCUUCCAGGCUUCAAAGCUGCACAGAGUCUACGUUUUAGAGAGUUGGCACCUUUGAUGUGGUAGUGAGCUGAUCAUCCACUUUCUUCUAAAAUAAAGAAGAAAAUGGCCAGUAUUCAUCCUGUCCUUGUCUUUCCCCAUUCCUUGAUAACUCUCUUGUCUUUACUGGGAGGCUGGAGAGUCACAGUCUAGUAGAAGAAAGGUAAGAAUGUGCUUCUUCCAUAGGGGAGGGUAUAAGGGGAAUAAAUAAGUUUUAAUAGUUCACUGGUGACCAUUAAAUAGUAAAUACAUGGGAUUAGUAGUGCUGAAAAUAGGAAAAACUCAGACCUAUUUGGAGGACUAACGGUAAAUGGGUCUACUGGUACCGGUUAACAAGUAUUAACUGCAUAUGAAAGACAAAUGCCUGAUUUCAGUGCUACUCCUAUUGCUCAUCUCUUUUGUUAGCAUUAAUAUUUCUAUACCAUAAACUACUGUAUUCCCAAGCCUUAUUAUUUACAGAUGAGAAAAUCACAAAGAAUGACUCUCAUUAGUGAACAAUGGUUCAGCACAAUUUGAAUGAUUCAGGGGAACUCAUAUUUCAAAGUGUCAGACUCAGAUGGCCCUUACAAAAUAUAAAUACUAAAUAUGUAAAGUGAUAAUUAUACUGAAAUUAUAUGGAAUAUGGAAUUAAGUUGUAUAAGUUGAAGUCUUUACCUCAGUCACCAUCAUUUUGAGCUCCUUUGUGCUGGUGAGCAUCAAUUUCUUCAUAAAUAGCUCUGAAACAAAGCCAUCACAGCAAAAGGGUUAUGUAUCAAUUUCAAAGUGCUAUUUUGGUUUUUAACUGCCAGCACUGUAAUUAAAAACUGAGCUGGUUUUGGAGUUCAGGCUAUAUAUGAGUAAAAAUAAGUCUCUGCCCUGAAGUGUGUAUUCUAGUUUAUUUAAAUUCUAAUGUUGCACUUCAUUUUUUCUUUUUUUUUUUUGAGACAGAGUCUCACUCUUUUGUCCAGGCUGGAGUGCAAUGGUGCUUUCUUGGCUCACUGCAACCUCUGCCUCCCAGGUUCAAGUGAUUCUCCUGCCUCAGCCCCGCGAGUAGCUGGGAUUACAGGGACACACAACCAUGCCCAGCUAAUUUUUUUGUAUUUUAAGUAGAGAUAGGGUUUCACCCUGUUGGCCAGGCUGCUCUCAAACUCCUGACCUCAGGUGAUCCACCCGCCUCAGCCUCCCAAAGUGCUGGGAUUACAGGUGUGAGCCACCACACCCGGCCUUAUUGUUGCAAUUCCUAUGUCUCUUAAAAGUAUGUAUUUUAUAGAAACAAUUAAUUUUUUCUUGUGAUUGAAAUGAGAAAUAUGGCUCAAAUUUGGACAGUUUAUGUUUUGCUUAAAAAAACUCCUGAGUUUCUUCUGGUUUCAAACUUUUAAAAAAAAUAUUAGGACAAGUGCAGUGGCUCACACCUAUAAUCCCAGCACUCUGGGAGGCUGAGGUGGGUGGAUCGCUUGAGUCCAGGAUUUUAAGACCAGUAUGAACAACAUGGCAAAAUACCAUCUCUACAAAAAACAUAAAAAUUACCAUGUGUGGUGGUACACACCUGUAGUCCCAGGUACUCAGGAAGCUGAGGUCGGAGGAUCACUGGAGCCUAGGAGGCGGAGAUUGCAGUGAGCUGAGAUCGUGCCACUGCAUGCCAGCCUGGGCUACAGAGCAAGACUUUCGUCUCAAAAAAAAAAAAAAAAAAAAAAAAAUUAAUCUUCCAGCUUAUUUAAACUAUGUGAUUACAGUCCAGACUCCUCAGCCAUCUAUAGCUCAUCACUGUCAUUUCUGUACUUUUUUUAUGUUGUAUUUUUUCAAUGACAUCCUUCAUUCGUUUUUCUUUUUUCUUUUUUUUUUUUUUUUUUGAGACAGGGUUUCACUGUCACCCAGGCUGGAGUGCAGUGGUGCAAUCAUGGCUUUUUGCAGCUUCGACCUCCCAGGUUCAAGUGAUCCUUCCACUUCAGCCUCUCAAAAUGUUGGGAUUAGAGGCAUAAGCCACCAUGCCGGGCCCAUUCAAUUCUUUAUAUGCGUCUUACAUAUGUCUGUAGCUGGAAAAUAUACCUGAAAGCACAACAUUCAUAUAUACAGUAUAGCAAAACAUGGCUGAGGAAAAAUCUCAAAAAUCACAGCGCUAUGAAACCAUGAUCACCAAGUUCAUAAGGCCCCAGAAUGGUGCUACAAUUUUAAUGUUUCCCUAAAAAGUUUGGUCUCAUCUCCCUCAAAACGAUUUCAGUCUUCUUCACUCUCCUCAAACCUCUAAACUCUCUGGUAGAAACUGCAUUCUUAAUACAUUAAAUGUCUUGAUAUGGAAACUUCCUCAUUUUCCCAUCACUAAAUCUUCAAAUUUAUCUUCAUUUGUCCAUUAUUUCUGUGAUCCUGUCUAUUCCUGGCUUCUGAAGCACUUGACCCAUUCAGUUAUUCUUCCCUUCCUGAGUCUUCAACCUCUCCUUCUAUGCCAGAUCCUAUUCUUCAACAUUCACAGAUUCUCCAGCGUCUCCCAUGUCUCCCAUUUUAUACAAAGUACAGCCUUUAAUUCCAUCUCUUCUUGUAGUAAAUGCCUUAGUAUCCUCUAGCUACCAACCCCUUUUUUUUUUUUUUUUUUUUGAGAUGGAGUUUCACUCUUGUUUCCCACGCUAGAGUGCAAUAGUGGGAUCUCAGCUCACUGCAACCUCUACCUCCUGGGUUCAAACGAUUCUCCUACCUCAUCCUCCCGAGUAGUUGGAAUUACAGACACCCGCUACCACGCCUGGCUAAUUUUUGUAUUUUUACUAGAGACAGGGUUUUGCCAUGUUGGCCAGGCUGGUCUCAAACUCCUGACUUCAGGCAAUCUGCCUGCCUUGGCCUCCCAAAGUGCUGGGAUUAUAGGCGUGAGCCACCGUGCCCGGCCCCAAACCCGUUUUCAUCACUGCUUCAUAUUUAAGUUCUAAGAAGUUAUCUGCACUUACUGUCUCUACUUAAUCUCUCAUGUGCUUUUCAAAUGCACUGAAAUUUGGGUUCUGUCUCCAUCAGUCCAUCAAAGUAGCUUUUACUAAAAUCAUCAGUGAUCUCCAAUCCAUUAUCUAGUUUUCAGUUCUCAUCUUACUUGUCUGCCCCUAGCACUGUUCUUCACAGUUGUACUCACUCCUCUUUGCUUCCAAAUUACAUUUUCCUCAUCUGGUACUGAGCUCCCUGUUAACUUUCUUUACUCUUGGUUUUAGCAUUUCCAUUUCCUUGAAUGUGCCAGAACUCUGUCCUCUGGGUCUUUGUACAGGUUGUUCCUUGGGCCUCCAAUACUCAUUUCCAAACUUUUCACUUAACUAAGAAUUGCGGGCCUCAGCUUUAAUGCUACCUGAAGCUUUCUCUAAUCCCCAUUUAAAUUAGUUCUGUUACAAACUUUCAAGUUGCCAUAUUCUUUCAUAACAUUAACACAAAUUGUAAACAUGUAUUUGGUGAUUUGUCUAAUUUCUGUAUCCGUGCUACAUUUAACCUCUGUGAGGAUGAGCAUGUUUCUUGUUCAGAAUUAUAAAUUAGUCCAGUCAUAGUCCCUGACACAUAAUAUUGAAAUUAAUGAAUCGUGUGUAUCUUCAUAAACAUACUGUUUGUCCUGGUAGAGCAAAAAUUGUCAACCUGGGGUUCAUGGACAACCAGUGAUGUGAAAAAACCCAGUAAUUUCCUGCAAGAUUCUGUGCUUUUCCUUGGAGAGAAGUCCCUGAAUUUCAUGGGACUUUCAAAAGAACUGAGACAUUCUGACGCCCAGAAAGAAAGACUCAUCACAGUGAUAAAAGAGUUCCAAAGCUUCACCUCUCCAGCUUUUUACUGUCUCUCCCACCUCCGGUAUCUGUGACACUGCCGUAUCUACAUACAGCAAUCUCCUAAUUUGAAUAUAAUCAAGAACUUUUCCACUACCUGUUUGGAUGGAGAAACUGAUAAAAAAACGUUUCUAGAAAGCAUACCUAGUUAAGUGCCAGUUUCUUAAACCACUAAUAUGAUCAGUGAUAUAUCUACUAUAUCAGGCAGAAUGACUUAGAGAAAUUUCUCAAACCUGAGUUAGGAAAAAAUACAUAGUGGACUCCUAAGUCCCUUAACAUCUGCUCAUAAAUUAAGUCAACCAUUACAUUGAGGGAUUAAACCAGGGACCAGAAUAUCAAAUGUCUACACAUGUCAGCCAAAGAAGAGAUGCAGAGGGUUGGGUGGGGCUGGAAGCAGAUAGGAGGGGUCUCCAGGGACUAUAGGAGUACAAUCAACUUGAGUAGUCACCUGCUUUUUUCCCUAAACCCUGUGUGGAAUGCAGCCAGCUAGCUGGUUUAAACCAGCUCAUGACAGACCUCAGCAAUUUACAGAUGGAUCCCAGUGUACUUUCCUCAUUACCAUGCUAGUAUCUUCACCCUGGCAGAUGCUAUAGCUUCAUUACCAUAACAUGUGACCUGUGUGCUGAAAUAACGACUCACUGCAUCUGCACAACUGCAACCCCUCUCCAUGCAAUGACAUACCCUCUUCCCUCUCUAUCACCCCAUAAAACCCUCCUGUCACUUUCCUGCUUUGGAGACUAUGCCCAGUGCUUUAUUUGUGACAAGUAAUAAAACUCCUAUUGCUCAAAGCCUGCAUUCUUGGUUGGUUAUAGUGGCUCAUGCCUAUAAUCCCAGCACUUUGGAAGGCUGAGGCAGGAGGAUUGCUUGAGCCCAGGAGGUCAAAACUAGCCUGGGCAACACAGACCCCCUUCUCUAUAAAAAAGAAAAAUUUAAAAGGCUGGGCACGGUGGCUUACACCUGUAAUCCCAGCACUUUGGGAGGCUGAGGCAGGUAGAUGAACUUGAGACCAAGAGUUCGACACCAGCCUGGGCAACAUGGCAAAACCCUGUCUCUACUAAAAAUACAAAAAAUUAGCCAGGCGUGGUGGCACAUGCCUGUAGUCCCCAGCUACUCAGGAGGCUGAGGCAUGAGCAUUGCUUGAGCCUGGGAGGCAGAAGUUGCAGUGAGCCGAGAUCACCCCCACUGUACUCCAGCCUAAUGACAGAGUGACACUCUGUCUCAAAAAAAUAAAUUAGCCAGGCAUGGUAGCGUACCCCAAUAGUCUCAGCUACUCAUGAGGCUGAGUAGGGAGGACUGCUUCAACCUGGGAAGUCAAGGUUGCAGUAAGCCAUGAUCAUGCCACUUUAUUCUAGUUUGAGUGACACAGUGAGACCCUGUUAAGAAAAAAUAAUAAUAACCUGUGUUCUCAUGGAGAGUUGUCUAUUACCAGAUGAAUGAAUCUCAGGUUUUUUUAGGGGUAACAAGUCUGGUACCCCAGAUGAGACCCAGGGUUGAGCCCUGACUUGACCUCCCUUAUAGGCUCCUGGCAGGCAAAGCAGUGGGAUAUGGAAGCAUGUGUGGGCCAACUCACCUCAGUUGCCAAGAAGGAGACUAGAGAAGGGCCUUGGGACCCCUGACCUGGUGUCUAGUGUAGUCCACUGACUAGCACCACAAGACCUCUGGGAGAGUGGAAGCGGCUGCCUAGAGCCCAGACCUUUUGCUCGGUGCUUCUUCGAAGCAGCAGCUCCAUGAACUACUAAAAGAGUGGUCUGGGUUUUGAUCAUUAGGAUUCUGGGUUGUCAGGAUUAGGACCUAGGUCAAGGGAUCCAGGAUUGUUGAGAAAAAGAAGUUCCUUCUUUCAGGUCUGGGAGACUGAGAGACAUCACCAUCGUUUUAACAAGGGGAAUCCCCAACACAAAGACAAGGAUGCUUGUCUUCAGGCUUUGUUCCCUAUCUGGUAUAACUGUAGGGCUCAAUAUUCUUACUUGUCUGUGGCCUGAAUGAAUAUGAAGUCUGGAUUCUUCUACCCUUAGUCUGUGGCAAUCCCUAAAAUAUCAGGCUUUGUUUUGCAGCAGUCACAGAAGGACUGCUGUUAGUUUGAUGAGGAGACCCAAGUUUCAAAGGGGGCAGUUUUGGUGGGAUCAUGAUCCCUGGAACCAGAAUGCAGUGAUACAAAGGUUACAUGAACAGUGUGUGCUUUCUCUGAGGAAACACCUCACUCACUUGAUUGAUUUACCUACCUCCCCACCACCUGAGCUGGAUCCAGAACUACUUCACUGUCUCCAUGAGAUCUGGGAGGCUGCCUGGACUGAACAUGAUCCAGGGAAAGGAAAUCCCUGUUAUCCUCUCAGCUUCCCAGGACCUCUGGAUGGCUUUGCAUGGUGGCAAGCAAAGAGGACCAGAAGUAUUCAAGCUGAGUUGUGGGAUUUGUGUCAUCAUUAAUCUCCAGAGUUUGGAAGCCCCUCAAACUGUGUGCAGAGACGGUAGAAUGUUGUGAACUAGGUCUUGGAAGGAGAGCUUGUUAGGGUGCCGCCUCUGGCAAUGGAAACUGCAUAUCCACCCAUGACCAAAAAGCAAAUGAUAUAUUACUGUAAUACAGCCUGGCCCCAGUAUUCCCUAGAUCAGAAGAGAUGGUCUGAACAUGGGUCACUUACUGCAACUCUCCAAUUGGACUUUUUUGCAAGAAACCUGGUAAAUGGGAAGAAAUACCCUAUAUGCAAUGUUUUAUGGCCCUCUAUCAAAACCCUGCCCUGCAAAUGAAAUGCAGAAUAUGUAAAUUGGCCAAAGGGAACUAUAUUGCCAAUUCUAGAAGCCUCUGGAGAGGAAGCAUCAGUCAUGUGGGGGCCUAUAGGGAAGGGAACAAGUAAGAAGAGUCCCUUUACUACCCCCUCCAAGAGAAGUGAGGCCCUCUAACUCUACUCGGGGACUGGAACCUUGGCCAAUACAGGGGCAUAGUCCACCUUCUUGGAAAUGGUACCCUCUGCACCUCCAGGGAAAAGCAAGGGCCCGUUCUGUAUUUGCCAGGCCCUCCAAACUCUGCAGAGCCAGCUGUGGCUCCUGCUAUGGCAAUAGCAGGCCCCUGUUGUACUCUUCUUUGCCAGGGAGCACCACUCAUAGUGGGAACGCAUAUAACCCUGGAGGGUGACUGUUACCACUCAGAGCAUGCCUGUUGGAGAAAGAGGUUUUGCUCGGGUCUAUGUGUUUUUUAAAACUGUUGACUUGUAUAACUGGAAAUCCCAUAGUAAGGGCUUAUGGGUGAGCCCAGGAGAGUUCGUAACUCUCAUAUGGAGAAUAUUCUCCACACAUAACCCUACCUGGCCAGGUGUGCAGACCGUAACAGCAACCCUGCUCACAGCAGAAGAUAAAUCUGCCACCAUGGCCAAAACUAAGGAGGAGGCAGACAAUAUGUGUGCUGAUAACCUGGUGACCUGGCCCGUUGAGGUGUCAGUCCCAAUAGCCAACCCAAACUGGGACCCCAGUGAUAACAAGAAUCAAGAGCGGCUUCAUCAUUAUAGGAAUAUGCUUCUCAGAGGUAUGAGGGAAGCAAGCCAGUCCCUGGUCAAUUGGGGAAAUCUCAGAGAAAUAGAACAAGGCCCUAAUGAAAAUCCAUCAGCAUUCCUAAAUUGAUAAUAAGAAUGCCUCCAGAAUUACACCCCUUGGGACCCAGAUGACCCAAAAGCUGAGUCUCACUUUAAUCUCACUUCAUCUCUCAGCCCCAGAUAUUCAGAGAAAACUCUAAAAAGUGGCAAUAAAUCCACAUACUCCCCCUUUCCAACUGGUAGACAUCUCCUUUAAGGUCUAUAGUAAAGAGAUGUGGCAUCUGAUGAAAAGGAAGACAAGAAGAUGCGGCAGCCCUACAGACUACUUCAGGAAGCCCAGGAAGAAGAUGGCAUGGGUGAGUGACCAGGGCCCCCACCAUGGAACUCAGGGCCUGCCUACACUGGGGCCCAAACAAUGUGCUUACUGGAAGCAGAAAGGAUGCUAGAAAAGGGAAUGUCCAAAUCAUCCCCAGAGAGGGAAGAAAGAGGACAAGCCCGAGGUACCUGUUCCCUGUAACUGGACAAGAAACUGACGGAUGGGGACAUGGGGCUCCCUGCCUGGCUCCUCAAAAUAAGAUCCACAUCUCCCCCAAGGAGCCCCAGGUUACACAGAAGAAGGGGGGCAACCAGUUGGAUUUUUUUUCGUUUGUUUGAGACAGGGUCUGUGUUACCCAGGCUGGAGUGCAGCACCAUGAUCAUGGCGCACUGCAGCCUCCAACUCCCAGGCUCAAGCAGUCCUCCCACCUUAGCCUCUCAAAUAGCUGGGACUAAGGCACACCUGGCUAAUUUUUUUGUUUGUUUGUGGAGACAAGGUCUCGUUAUGCUGUCAGGGCUGGUCUUGAACUCCUGGGCUCAAGUGAUCCUCCAACCUUGGCCUCCCAAAUUGUUGGCAUUACAGGCAUGAGCCACUGCACCCGGCCACCAGCUGAGUUUUUGAUCAACACUGUAGCCAUGUUUUCUGUGUUGAUCACUAAAAGUGGACCCUAUCCAGGAGUAAAUGUAUAUAAGGGAUGUGUCUCAUAAAGGAAAUAAAAGAUUCUUGGAGCCUCUGGUCCAUGAAAUAGUAUCUAAAACUUUGACUCAUUCUUUCUUCUGUUCCCCAAACGUCCCAUUCUCCUUUUGGGAAGGGACCUUCUGACUAAGUUUGGAGCCACAAUUUCUCUAAAUCAGGACAGAAUAGAGAUGUUCUGAGCCCACGGCACUGUCAUGCUGGCCCUAGUUCCUGGGGAAGUUCCAGACUUGGGGCCUCAUAUGACUCCUUGGCUAAUGCGGUACUAGAUAAUUGUAUAGCAUUAGACUGCCUCUUAGCAGAACAGGGAGGAGGAGAGUGUGCAGUUAUUAAUUCCUCUUGCUGUACCUGAUAAAUACCUCAGGGGAAAUAGGAAGUUAACAUUAGGAAGGUCCAUGCCGAAGCCUCUUGGUUCCACACUUUUAAUCAGCAGCCAUACUUUUUUUUUUUUUUUGAGACAGAGUCUCGCUCUGUUGCCCAGGUUGGAGUGCAGUGGGGCACGAUCUGGGCUCACUGCAACCUCUACCUCCUGGGUUCUAGCGAUUUUUCUACCUCACCUUCCUGAGUAGCUGGGACUACAGGUGCGCACCACCACACCUGCCUAAUUUUUGUAUUUUUAGUGGAGACGGGGUUUCACCAUGUUGCCCAGGCUGAUCUUGAAUUCAGGGUGAUCCGCCCGCCUCGGCCUCGCAAAGUGCUGGGAUUACAGGGGUGAGCCACCACACCAGGCCUAAUAGCCAUACUUCUAACUCUAUUUGAGAAGUUCUCAAAUUAGCAAUACCAAGUGUUACUUGGUUUCUUCCCCUAAUGAGGCCACUAAUUUUAUUGCUCUUACUACUGUUGUUUGGUCCCUGCAUCUUUAACCUCUUCGUAAAAUUUGUAUCUUCCAGAUUAGAAAAAUUUCAACUGUAGGUGCCUUUGCAACCUAUCCUGGGAGACCCUAAAACAUAUUUAGUUUUAGUGCCUAGAGAUUUUCACUCCUCUAACAUCUCUGGAUACAGUGUCCCUGGUCAACAUGAAGAAGUUACAGAAGAACACUUUCUGAUCCUGGCCCCUAAAGAAUUUACUUGUGCUAAGUAAUAAAAUUCCUAUUGAUCAAAACCUGUGUCCUUGUGGAGAGUCAGAUAUCUGUUACUACCCAGGUGAAUGAACCCUGGGUUUUUUGGGUGGUAACAGGGCCUGAGGGGCUGCAGAGCCUACCUGUGUAAAGGAGAUAGCUACUACUCAACCCCAGCCCAUAGCUAGCACGUAAAAAUUCAGGCUUCGUGUUGACAGAGUAUCUAAAUGAUCUAGAAGUCCAGAUUUUUUAUUUUCAAAUAUCCGAGUUUUCAGCUGUUGGCAACUGUGGUCUUAUGAUACAUACUGGUUUUUGUCUAAGGUUCCUGGCUCACAACUCCCAUAGCCCUUGUUACAGUCUUUUGUUAUAAUGUUGGGUGUGUCAGGCCUUAGGAGCCAGCCUCUGGAAGCAGAAUCUCUCGACCUUCUCUAGUCCUCCUUUCACCUGCCCCAAGGCACCACUCUAAUCGCCCGUCUUUUUCACUGUGGGUCAUAAGAGCCUCCCUAGAGAGGGUCCUGCCCUAUACCCUGGGGGAAGGAAUGCUGACAUCAAGAAGCUUCCAUUAAAAACCCUAGAGGACUGGAUUGGGGUUGGGUCAGGUCAGUUUCUGGAUAGCUGAACAUGUGGAGGUACCUGGAGGGUGGGACUCCAGGGAGGGCACGGAAACUCCAAGGCCUUUUCCGCAUGCCUCGCCCUGUGCCUCUCUUCAUCUGCAUCCUUUGCAAUGUCCUUUAUAAUAAACCAGUAAAUAUAAGUAUUUCCCUGAGUUCUGUGAGCUGCUCCAGCAAACUAAUCAAACCCAAAGAAGCAGUCAUGGGAACCCCAACUUGAAGCCAGUCAGUCCUAAGUUUAGAGGCCCAGGCUUGUGACUGGUGUCUGGGAAGGUAGGUGUGGGGGUGGUGGGGACUGAGCUCUCGACCUGUGGGGUCUGACACUAUCUCCAGGUAGAUGGUGUUGGAAUUGAAUCAGAGGACACCCAGCUGGUGUCCAUUGUAGAAUUCAUUGCUUGCCUGCUGAUGGAGAGAAAUCCUCACAUAUUUGGGGGCCACAGAAGUCUCUGCAUUCAUUGUUAUAUUAGAGUGAGAGCCGAGGAAAAACAUGGUUGAGAGUUUCCCAAACCAGCAAUUAAUUUUUAAAAUGCACAUUUUAAAUUCUGCACAGGUCAAAAACAAACAAACAAACAACUGCAAGCAAGAUAUAGC
rnacentral:lncRNA from 1 species